rnacentral:rRNA from 1 species
CCUACGGGUGGCAGCAGUGAGGAAUAUUGGUCAAUGGGCGCGAGCCUGAACCAGCCAAGCCGCGUGCAGGAUGACUGCCCUACGGGUUGUAAACUUCUUUUAUAAAGGAGUAAAGUGAGGUACGUGUGCCUUUUUGUAUGUACUUUAUGAAUAAGGAUCGGCUAACUCCGUGCCAGCAGCCGCGGUAAUACGGAGGAUCCGAGCGUUAUCCGGAUUUAUUGGGUUUAAAGGGUGCGUAGAUGGUUUGUUAAGUCAGUUGUGAAAGUUUGCGGCUCAACUGUAAAAUUGCAAUUGAUACUGGCGGCCUUGAGUGCAGUUGAGGUAGGCGGAAUUCGUGGUGUAGCGGUGAAAUGCUUAGAGAUCACGAAGAACUCCGAUUGCGAAGGCAGCCUACUAAACUGCCACUGACGUUGAGGCUCGAAAGUGUGGGUAUCAAACAGGAUUAGAUACCCGGGUAGUC